GUUUGAAACAGCUGUUUUAUUUAUUUAUUUAUAGGAUAUGAGCAUUGCUGGUGUUUAUUGCCCAUCUCUAAUUGUACUUGAAAAGGUGUAAGUGAGCCACCUUGUUGAAACCACUGCAGUCCAUGUGGUGUAGAUACAACAUGUGUUGUUAGGAAGUUCUAGCAUUUUGACCAGCACAGGUAAAAGAACAGUGAUGUAAUUCCAAGUCAGGAUGGCAUGUGAUUUGAAGGAAAACCUGUAGGUUUGUUUUCCUGUGCAUCUCUUGCCCUUCUUCUCCUAGAAAGUAGAACACAAGUUUGGAAAGUGCUGCUAAAGGAGUCUUGACAAGUUGUUAGAUUGCAUUACAUAGAUGGUACACAGUUUUACCAGUAUGUGCUGGUGGUGAGUAGAGUGAAUGCUUAACACGGUGAAUGAGGUGCUGAUCAAGCAGGCUGUUUUAUCCUAGAUGGUGAUGAGCUUCUUGAAUGUUGUUGGAGUUGCAUUCAUCUAGGAAAGUGGAAUGUAUUCCAUCACAGUCCUGACUUGUUCCUUGUGGUGAUGAGCGGGCUUUGGGAGGUCAAGAGGCAAGUUACAUAUCACAUAACUUCUAGUUUCGAAUCUGUUUCUGUAGCCACAGUAUUUAUAUGGGUGUUAAGUUAAGCUCCCGGUCAAUGGUAACCUGCAGGAUGUUGUUAGUUGGAAUUUAGCAAUGGUAAUGCUAUUGAAUGGUGAGGAGAAACUGUUAGAUUCUUCCUUGUUGGAAGCAGCCUGAACAUUGUCCAGAUAUCACUGCAUGCAUGCACAGACUGUUUCAGCGUAUGAGGAGAUGCAGCUGGUACUGAACAUUGUGCAGUCAUGACCUCAUGAUGAAGGAAAGGUCAUUGAUGAAGCACCUGAAGAUGGUUGAUGAUCCUGAGAAACACCUGUAGCAAUGAGCGAGGCUGAGAUAUGGAUCUUCAGCAGCCACAGCGAUCUUUCUUUGUGCCAGCUCUGUUCCAUGUGUGAGAAAACCGGUGCCACUUUAGGCUGCUACAUUAAAGGCUGCCCCCUUAAGUACCACUAUGCCUGUGCUGUAAAUAGUAAAUGUUUCCUAAAUGAAGAUAAUUUCUCAAUGAAAUGUGCAAAACACAAGGACAAAGCUCUGAAAGUAUCAGCAAAGGGAGAAAGCAGGUGACAGUGAUACUGAGGCUCAAGUCUACUGAACUAUUCCCAGGAGAUGGUCAUGGUGUUUUGAGAGAGAGUCAGCCUUUACAAUGCAGCAAACUGAAGAUAAAGAAAGAAAGCACUGUGGUCUACCAUGCCCUUUAUUUGCAUCUGUUGGUUAAGUAGAAUGAGUUAAUGUUAACAUAUGUCCAAGAUCUUCUGUCAUUAUUAAGAAGAUUAUUUUCCCCUCAUAUUAACAAGACUGUUCUGUGACGGUGACGGGGAGGGUGUGUUUCUCUGUAUUGUCUUUAAACUUUACACCACAGUGAAAUACAUUCACUACAUUUUUCAGAGUGAGCAGUGGGUUGUGCAUUCGGAGCUGCCACAAGAACAGGAAGUGAUCUAAAUAUGCAGUACAAUACCAUAACCAUCUUAAUGGUGCUUCUGUGUGAAAUGUCAGGGUUAAAAUCACCAAAGGUCCUGUUUCUAGUCAUUUGAUCUCCACACAUUGUGGUGCACUGUCAUUCUCAGCCUGCAUGGUGAUGCUGUAAUAGUCAGCACUUAACUCAAAACAUCAACACCUGGAUUUCUUUGUGCCCUUGAAAGCUGUGGUCUCCUAUUUAGUUAGCCCCAAGUGCAGUAUAGCAGUAUCAUUCUCCUGCUAAUAGUCAGUAUUCAGUUAGUUGUCCACGUCAAAGGAAUAUUGCUGGAAAGAGCAGAACAAAACAACAACAUCACGAUAAAAUCUUUUGGAAAUGCUCAUUGGAAACAAAGAACAUGCUGUUUUACACUCAUGGAAUAAAAGAGGUCAGAAUGAUUUACUUAAUGUGAUCUUUUUUUCCCCAUAGUUACAGGUAGCUACCAUAAAAUGGUUUCUGUAUUGGUUGUAAUUUGUGAUUUGCCCCAAAAUAGUCUUAUGCAAAAUUUGCCUCUUUGCUCCUGUAGCUACUUCACAAAGGGUUACUUGUAUGACAGAGUUUUUGAAAAACUCACUGUAAAUGACAGCCUUUUUUUUGGCCUCUGCUCAAGGGUGAGAUCUGUAUUCCAGAUUCUUUUAAUACUUUAAAAUCUACUGGCUUUGAUGAUCAUUUGAGAAGCUAUGGUUCUUUUAAAAUGCAUUGUUCCACAUAUUUUAAAACAAAAAGUAGACUCCCAACUACGUUUUAACGGCUUGUUUAAAUGGCCACUUUAUCCCACUGCAUUGUGUUUGAGUCGGUGAGCCUGACUCUGGUUAAGGAUGGGUGUAACAAUCUAAACAUAAUAAAAAUUACAAUUUAAAACCAUUACUGUGUGGCUUGAGUAAGGGCAACAGACAUUGAGUUUUGCUCACUUGACCUUAAGCCCCUAGUUUAGUUGUGUCCUGAAGGAGAAACGUGAUGUAGAUUUUGUUCUAUUUAAUACCUCUAGGUUAGGAGAAUUGUGUAGUUAUUUUGUGUCUUUUAAAAAAAUAUGUAUAACCCAGCCAAGGGAGCUCUACAGUGCAGAUACCACUUUUAUCAUAUAUAUAGAGAUAUAUAUAAAUCUAUUUAUUUUUAAAAUUAACCAUACUUAGAACUUCUUAAAUCCCUUAAAUUCCAUAUACUCUCCUUACACAGUGACUUAUACAGCACAAAUAAAGCUCAGUUAGGUUGAGCUAUCUUGCAAGAGUUAUUACAGUUGCCUUCUCAAAAAUCCUUAAUUAAGAUGCAUGAAAUCAAUCAUAUCUCAGAUCUUCUGUAGUCUGGCUAUCCUAGUGUACAGAUUAAACUAGGCAGCCAAACCAGUCGCAAAUGCAGUGACAGGUGCUUUAAGCUUUAAAACACUGUCCCCAAACCUUGCUAAAUAUUGAUGAUCCUGCAGAAUGCUUACAUUUUUGUACUUUAUUUCAUCUGACUUUUUUGAUUUCGAAAUAAAUAAGUUUGUCCUCAAUAUUUACAAUGUUGGCUGAAGUUCUGUCAAACUUCGGCUCCCUUGCCUAAAAUUUACAAAUCCCAUUCAAUUCUUGUUAUAGUUGAAUAGCGUCAGUCUGCAUAAUGAAGCAUUGCUGAUAGCCUCAUGGAAAACAGGACAGAUGUGAAGUUUGGAAAAACUGCUUGCUUUGUAGGUUGCUCAAGUCACAAUCCCCAAAAACAAGAGAACCUGACUGAGGAAAAGGGCACUUAUUGCUGAACCUUUGCUGCAGAGAUUUAGUUUGACCUCAAAUACACUUCUCUUCACUGUGUCUGCAACAUGAGCCAAACAUCUUGGGGAAAUCUCUGGCUGGACUUACAUUACAUGCUGACUGAGCUAAUCCCAUCUGAAUCAGAAUUCAGUGGCAUGACACUAAAGCAGGGAAAUAAAUUGGUCAUGGUUCUCACACCUAAUCAAUGUCCAAUUGGGGAUGUGUAUGUGGACAUCUAACAUGUUCAGUUAUCGGUUAGCUUCCUGACAUUCACAUACAUUUGCACACAUGUAGAAUGCCCACUGGGUAAGUAGUCCCUGUGAAACCGAUGUCCAGCAUUGAGUACCUCAGGAAGAAAAGGGAGAUGCAGUUUGAGAUGCAGCGAAAUAGAAGUACAAUUCUGGUAGUCUAGUGAUUGCAGUGUUGCUGAGUGGUUUAACUCUGCGUUUGGGCCAUAGUUUCUUGCCAGUCAUGUGAUAAGUUGAGCAAGUUUUAUGCUCGCUGAAUGUUUUGUUGGGAAGGUGAAAUAUUACAAAGCAUGCUGUGACAUUUUGGACAGCUGGACAAACAGAAGUUUAUGUUCCAAAGUGUAAAAUGAAAAAGCCAAGGGGAAAAGACAUAUUUAACUCUUAGCGGUUUCUGUGCAAAGACUUAGCUGUACAACCAUUCAGAUGUCUGCCUAUACAAGGAAUCAGCCAUUUUUUGAGCAAAUGCACUUUCAGCACAUUAAAUUACUGUGACAUAUUGGAUCAUUGUAAAGGACCGUGGUUUGUAAGUUUAGUUGGUUUACUGAAAGAUCAUUAUGGUUAUCUUACUGCCUGUAGCUUUGUUAGAAGUCUUGAGAUGGUUGAACCUCAGAAGCUAGCUGAUGUGAUUUAAUUGUUCCUAAAGAUAAAUGUAAAUGUGAAGGGCAAAAAUUAAAAAGGAUUUUGUUCA